rnacentral:rRNA from 1 species
UACGGGGGGAGCAAGCGUUGUUCGGAUUUACUGGGCGUAAAGGGCGCGUAGGCGGCCACCGCAAGUCAGUUGUGAAAUCUCUGGGCUUAACCCAGAACGGUCAGCUGAUACUGCGGGGCUAGAGUGCAGAAGGGGCAACUGGAAUUCUCGGUGUAGCAGUGAAAUGCGUAGAUAUCGAGAGGAACACCAGUGGCGAAGGCGAGUCCCUGGACAACACCUGACACUGAGGCACGAAAGCCAGGGGAGCAAACGGG